CAGAGACAUGUUUUGUAUAGAUAUGGUCCUAUAAUAUACUGUUCAAAUAUAGCAUAAUAGGGGAGCUUUAAGGGGCAAAAGGAGCAAGCCUGUGAAAAACUUUGGGCAUCCAGUUCAAGAAAUAUUUCACACCAUUUGUGAAACUGUUAUCAUUUUUAACAAUGUGUAACAGAUGAAUGAGGCAAUACUUUAUUACAUAGGAAGAAGCAUGUAAGGCUGUUUGUGUUAUGAUUCCCAUCUUUCCUGCACAUGUUUCUUCUGACUCGUAUCGGGGAAACCUACAGCACACGUUAACAUGUUAUCUUAUGUGGACUUUUGAUUGUCUCUACAGAACCUAAGGCAGCUUUGCCACCCUGAAAUCAAGACGCACAGCACAGCAAAGCAACCCGAGCAAUGCCCCUUGAACCCAGACAACAAUCUCACAUCCGCUGCCAAUGAAUACAAAGCAGGUGGUGGAGCUGAGAUGGAGAUGCAAAUUAUGCCAUAGACAGAGGAUCAAGAGAUGCCAAUCUUGAUUAUCACUGCCCACUAACAUGCACUGUUGCCACACAUUUUUAGGGAAUUUCACCACCUGAAAAACAUUGUUUUAAAUCUCCAGCUCCACAGGUAGUGGCAGCUGAUAAUAUCAGACAAUGCAGAAAGCCUUUAUACAGAAUUAGUGUAAGGUAAAUGUUGCCUUUUUAUUAUUUGAUAGUUUUUAUAUAUUUACACACAUAUGUUUGAAAUGGUUUGCCUUUUUAUUUUCUGGCUCUUUUGGCUUUAUGUUCUAUAUUUUUAUGCUGUUACGUUUAUUCAUCUGCAUAUCAUUAUCACAUGAGAAUUCACUGGGGACCAUAAGCAUAGUCUGUUAUAAACCAAGAAACAAACUUCUUCA